AGGGGAACAGAGCAUUCCAAGGCAAGACACCAACAAAGGCAAAGGCUUGGAGGUGGAAAAGUGAGGCUUGCAGCUCCACUCUCCUUUUCCCAUAUCCAAAUCCAGCCCGUCAUCUGAGACCCACACUGAGCCACCUCCCUCAUGAAGCCCUCCCAGAUACCUCAUGUCCUGCUGACCCUUCUCCUCUUCCUGGAGAACUCAGGCCUGGAGCGCUCAUCUGGCUUGAACUGCUUGGUUGGGUGGCGAGCCGGUUAUGCACACAAGCUCUGAGAGGCCUGGGGGAAGUUGCUUAACCUCUCCAGCCCUCAGUUCCUUCGCCUGUAGUUGAGAAUAAUAAUACCUAUCUUUCAGGGUUGCUGAGGGGAGAAUAUUGAUAGAUACAGAGUGCUGGGCACCUGGUGAAUACUGCGUCUUCAGAAAGGACUUCCCUGAUGGCCCUUUCUAGAUAAUCAUUUUUUUCUAGAGGUGGCUCCUGCAGAAUUGCCCAUCCCACGGGCCCUUUGGCCUCAUGGCUGCUCGGACCCCUAGUGUAGCGUGGAAGAGAUGUUUUGGGCCUGGCGCCUAACUGGCCUGGAAGUCAGCCACCCUGGAAGUGCAACAAGCCUGAGACCACAGAGCUGUGAGAAGCCCGAGCCACGUGGGGAGGAAGGGGAUCCAGGAGUGUCAGACACCAGCCCUGGGAGUGAGGACACCACCUUGAGGAGGUCCUGUCGUCACUGAGAUGCAGCAACUCGGACUCUAAGUGAGAAGGGGCUUCCCAACAUUGGCCUUAGUCCUCAUCGGACCAUGUUCUUGCCUGAUGAGCCAGGCUGGAGGAAGGCUCCAAGUGCUGGGUUUUCUCCUUGGGACUUUGUCCUGGGGAUCCUGGGGUAGGGGCUGGACUUGGGGAUCCCGUAGCCUCCCCUAACUGGAAAAAUAGCCGAGAACCCAGGGCAGGAACUGGGCAGAGAAAGAUGGGGGGCCCAGGUGGCUGAGGAGGGGAUGGCCUGAUAAUGUAACUGUCCUGGACAGUGCUCCCAGGAUUUCACAAGGAACAAAGCCCUGGCUUUGGGGCAUCUGGCUUUCUCAGCGAAGCCUGACAUCGCCAACGACUGGGAAACAGUGACAUCUGCCGGCUGCCUGAGGCCAGAGCCCUCCUCCUUGGUUGGAGAACCACAGGGCGUUAGACCAUCUUAGAAUCCUGGAACAAAGAGGAUUUGGCCUUUGAUUCAGCUGUCUGGGAGGAGCCCAGGAUUCUGCAUUUCUAACAAGCCGCUAAUACCACUGGGUCUGGGUCGGCAGUGCACCUUGUUUAGAAAGCUUUAUUUAUAUCAAUUAUAUCUCAGUAAAAUUGAAGGAGUUCCUGUCGUGGCGCAGUGGUUAACAAAUCCAACUAGGAACCAUGAGGUUGUGGGUUCGAUCCCUGGCCUUGCUCAGGGGGUCAAGGAUCCUGCGUUGCCGUGAGCUGUGGUGUAGGUUGAAGACGCGGCUCGGAUCCCUCGUUGCUGUGGCUCUGCCGUAAGCCAGUGGCUACAGCUCUGAUUAGACCCCUAGCCUGGGAAUCUCCAUAUGCUGCAGGAGCAGUCCUAGAAAAGGCAAAAAGACAAAAAGACAAAAAAAAAAAAAAAAAAAAAAAAAAAAAGGAGGAAAAAAUGUUUUAGGGGGCUCAGAGAUGAAUCAGAUCUGGUCCCAGACAUCCCAAGUGUCUUAGGGGUGCUUUUCCACAUAUAAAAUCUGUUGA
rnacentral:lncRNA from 1 species